rnacentral:rRNA from 1 species
GACGAACGCUGGCGGCGUGCCUAAUACAUGCAAGUCGAGCGAAUCUCAGGGAGCUUGCUCCCUGAGAUUAGCGGCGGACGGGUGAGUAACACGUGGGUAACCUGCCUGUAAGACUGGGAUAACUUCGGGAAACCGGAGCUAAUACCGGAUACUUUCUUUUCUCGCAUGAGGGAAGAUGGAAAGAUGGUUCUGCUAUCACUUACAGAUGGACCCGCGGCGCAUUAGCUAGUUGGUGAGGUAACGGCUCACCAAGGCGACGAUGCGUAGCCGACCUGAGAGGGUGAUCGGCCACACUGGGACUGAGACACGGGCCAGACUCCUACGGGAGGCAGCAGUAGGGAAUCUUCCGCAAUGGACGAAAGUCUGACGGAGCAACGCCGCGUGAGCGAAGAAGGCCUCCGGGUCGUAAAGCUCUGUUGUUAGGGAGGAACAAAUACGAGAGUAACUGCUCGUACCUUGACGGUACCUAACCAGAAAGCCACGGCUAACUACGUGCCAGCCGCCGCGGUAACAC